rnacentral:misc_RNA from 1 species
GAAACGGGCAACAAACUCCUCACUUCACGUUCAACAGCAAUAACCUCUUAGCUUAGCUUAGCUUAGCUUAGUUAGCUCAACCACAAAAAACCCUAAUUCUCUCCCAAAAUUCCCAUUUUAUCCUCAGCCAUUUCCAUUCACUACCAAUGCUUUAAGCGUAGCCUUUGCUUUACCACACAUAUUGUGACCUUCAUCAUGUCUGGCGAUCGCCGGGAUGUGCCUACGGUCGCCGGAGAUGGAAACGGUAUGGUGGCAGCUGGGAACUCCGGGAAGCCGGCAACUCCGGCUGUUGUUUCAGUGACGCCGAGCCAGAGGCUUAGGCUGAACCCUAAUAAGGAUCAUAAGCCGGAGAGCUAUGAGGAUCUGCAAUUGGAUUUUAGUCCUUCGGUUUUUAGCUCGCUGGAGCGUUACUUGCCGCCGAGUAUGCUUGGUAUGAGUAGAGAUGAUAAGAUGAAGUUCAUGAGGGAAAUUCUAUUGAAGUACUUGCCUCAUGGAGAGGGAACCAGGGUUCAAAGACAUAGAGAAUACAGGCAGAAGAUAAUAUCAAAUUAUCAGCCUUUAAAUAGAGAAUUGUACACAAUGCACCCUUCAACCUUCUUUCUCCCUUCCUUUAUAAAGGCAAUCAGUGAUAACACAGAGGAGAGUUUUAGAAGUAUAAUGUCUGAACCCUCUCCCGGAGUGUUUACAUUCGAAAUGCUUCAGCCACAAUUCUGUAACUUACUAUUAUCAGAGGUGGAAAAUUUUGAGAAGUGGGUUAAUGAUGCAAAAUUUCGAAUCAUGCGACCAAACACAAUGAACAAAUAUGGUGCUGUACUUGAUGAUUUUGGUCUUGAAACCAUGCUUGACAAGCUUAUGGAUGGCUUUGUUCGCCCUAUAUCUAAAGUUUUCUUUCCUGAAGUGGGUGGAUCAACCCUGGAUUCUCAUCAUGGUUUUGUUGUUGAAUAUGGUAAAGAUAGGGAUGUUGACUUGGGCUUUCAUGUGGAUGAUUCAGAAGUAACUUUGAAUGUUUGCUUGGGUAAGCAA